GAUUAUCGAAGGAUUAGCGUUAAUUCAUAAUC
rnacentral:ncRNA from 1 species